rnacentral:rRNA from 1 species
CCUACGGGGGGCUGCAGUGAGGAAUAUUGGUCAAUGGACGAGAGUCUGAACCAGCCAAGUAGCGUGAAGGAUGACUGCCCUAUGGGUUGUAAACUUCUUUUAUAUGGGAAUAAAAUGUUCCACGUGUGGGCUUUUGUAUGUACCAUAUGAAUAAGGAUCGGCUAACUCCGUGCCAGCAGCCGCGGUAAUACGGAGGAUCCGAGCGUUAUCCGGAUUUAUUGGGGUUAAAGGGUGCGUAGGUGGAUUGUUAAGUCAGUUGUGAAAGUUUGCGGCGCAACCGUAAAAUUGCAGUUGAAACUGGCAGUCUUGAGUACAGUAGAGGUGGGCGGAAUUCGUGGUGUAGCUGUGAAAUGCUUAGAUAUCACGAAGAACUCCGAUUGCGAAGGCAGCUCACUGGACUGCAACUGACACUGAGGCUCGAAAGUGUGGGUAUCAAACAGGAUUAGAUACCCGAGUAGUC